UCUCUCCUCUGCCUGCAGCAGCAUCUCAAAGACCUUGGGCUGAGUCCUAUUCAUCGAGCAGAGCAGACUCCAGGGAAGCAAGUUCCUCAUUCAUCUGGUGACUAACUGUUGAUCUUCCAAAGAAUGAGCCAGAUGGUUCCCAUGAGAAGUGAUCAGCUCUUCUAGAGUCUAUGAACCAGAAAAUGACAGAGUCUGGGUACCUCUUGCCAGGACCUGUCUGAAGCUGAUGUGAUGAGUGCAGGUACACCUGGGGGAUUCCCUCCACCUCAGCUCGUCAGCCCCACAAACUGAAGGAUGCACGUCUCCUUCGAGGAUACACACGGAGUCUCCCCAGAGCACAGAUCUGAGCUGUAGCUCAGGGAAAGGGAAUGAGAUCUGCUGUGCUGACUCAGCCUCGGCUGCACAGGAAUAAACAGUCGGAAAGGAACCAUUAAUUCGAUAAGACUGAAACAUAUGUGAUAAUGCAUAUGUCAGACACUCAUCUCCUCACCAUAAAUAAUAUACAGAUACAUUGCAGCACACAGUUCAUUGUCUCUGACCAACGUAUUACUUCAAAGGGGAGUUUACAACUUUAUUUGAGGUCUUUACAGAGCAGAUGUCACCUUAAAUCUAAAGAAAGUGGACAGAGGAAAUGGAGAGAGCAUUAGAUUUAAAGCAAACCAGUGUUCUGCCUAUGUUUUCCUGGGAGGCUGUGUGCACACUCACCGUGCCCUGUGAUCGGUGUGGCUUCCAUAGUGCUAUGCACUGAAAAGAGAGGCCUUCAGGAAAAAACAAAUGCAAACUUCCUUUUUGCAUUUUCUGUAUAAGCAAUUUCCAUUUCCUGAUGAUAUCCAGCACUGUUUUAAUAGGAGGUUUCCAGAGAUCAGUUACACAAAGAAUAUAUUACAUGGUGUGUAAGUGAGGAGGGGAUGCAGCAGUAGGGGUUGGGCUCUGCUCCUCAUCGCCAGUGACACAACACACAGGAAUGGCCCAAAGAUGCACCAGGGGAGGGUAAGACUGGACAUCAAGAACAAUUUCUUUACCAUGAGGGUGAACAGACACUGAAAUGGGACUCUGAGAAGUGGCUGAUGCCUCAUGGCUGCCAGUGGCAAGAGGAAUUUGGACCAUGCCCCCGUUAAUUAAGAAGUCAGGCAACUGGACUCAAUGAUAUUUGAAGGUCCUAUUCAGUGAACUAUUCUGUUAUUCUCUCCUAUUCCAUUCUGUUUUUCUAUUCCAUUCUGUUCCAUUCCACUCUAUGUCUGACAGAGGGCAGAAGUCGGCGAUAACUGGCCAACUAUCAUUUCCUAAAGCACAGCAUCAGGGCUGAGGUGCCACAUGAGUUGUUGAUCUCAUUGCUCAACAUUCAAACAGAGGAGGAAUUUGAUGACUGAGACCGAGCUCCAUUUUGCAGGGCAUAGGAAAACACAAAGUCACAGAGAAUCAUAGAACUGAGUUGGAAGGGACUCUUAGAGGCCAUCUAGUCCAACCCCCCUGCAAUGAGCAGGGACACCUACAGGUCGAUCAGGUUGCUCACAAUGUUCCAGCCUGACCUUGAAUGUUUCCAGGGACCCGUUACCUCUCUUGGUAACAGGUUGCAGUGCCUCACCAGCCUUAUCAUAAGAAAAAUAAAACCAAAAACUUUUUCCUUAUAUCUGAUCUAAACCUCCUGUUUUAGUUUGAAACCAUUUCCCCUUGUCCCAUCGACACAGACCCUACUAAAGAGUCCGUCCCAUUCUUUCUUAAAGCACCUCUUUAGAUGCUGAAAGGAGAACUGGGCACCCUUUGCUUUAUCUCCACGAUCUCUGCAGUUCCUCUGAGCGUUACCAUUGAGUACACAAUGGCCAAUAAGUAGCUCUUCGCUUUUUUAUUGCGGGUGGCAAUAGGAACUGUCACAGUUUUAAAGCCCGUGUCCUCGCUUCAAACCUGCGCUGCGUUUGAAUGACUUCAUACGACAUCAACCAUAUCGUGGGGAAGGCAGAGAAGUCUGCGAAGGGGCCCUGCCCAGCGCAGACCGCUUGAGCGCAAUGGUGGGCCCCAAAGGAGGCUCCGGGCUCCCACCCACGGCCCCGCUUUGCACUUGAAAGCACCAACGACAGCACCGCCUGAUGGGCCAAAGGGCUUUUUGAGCUCGGCAAGGCAGAAAAGAAAAGCUAAAGAGGCCUUAAAGUAAGUGUGGAUUAGAACGACUGCAAGGAGAGACUUUUCCACCAUCGAUCUGGCCAGUCAAGAAUCCUUCACAUGAACAGACGUAACGGUCAUUAAAACACUUUGGCUUUUUCUUAGUUCCAGAAUCUUAUGAAAUUGAGAUCGUAGAAAACCAAAACGUUCACCUUUCAGGGCAGAAGGGGUAGCUAACAUAGAUAGGCUUUCUUUUUUUCCUUUCCUUCCAUAAGGCAGCUGAACAGCUCUUGAAGAGUUAAAAGACUCGGCGGUGUUUAUAAGAAAGUGGAAAUUCCAUUUAAAAACAGAAAAGAAAAAAAAAAAAAAAAAA